UACGGGGGGUGCGAGCGUUGUCCGGAAUCACUGGGCGUAAAGGGCGCGUAGGUGGCCUGAUAAGGGUGUGGUGAAAGUCCGGGGCUCAACCCCGGAUCUGCCGUGCCGACUGUUAGGCUAGAGUACUGUAGGGGCAGGCGGAAUUCCGGGUGUAGCGGUGGAAUGCGCAGAUAUCAGGAGGAACACCGGUGGCGAAGGCGGAUCUCUGGGCCUUACCUGACGCUGAGGCGCGAAAGCUAGGGGAGCAAACAGG
rnacentral:rRNA from 1 species